AUAUAUAUUCUUAUUUGAUAGUAGAAAUGUUAAGUCUUUGAGAAGAAAUUUUGCGAAGUUUGCUCAUCACGAGAAACAAACGGCUAAUAUAUUAUCUCUAAGAGAAUAUAACUUGUCAUGAAGAGGCUGAAAGCAUGUCUGACGGAAGUUGAAAUUAGAUUCAGAGUAUUUCCUUAAGAAUAUUUUUAGGCUACAGUUAAGAAUCUUUAUACCUGUAAUAAAUCUUCGCGUUGUCAACGCUAGCUUGUCCGCCGAUAAGACAUCAGCAGGAAAACGUCAUAGUGUUUGAUCAAAUUCUAUCUUAGAUUUAUAUUGCAACGCUAUAAAUAUCUCUUUUAAAUAAAUAUUUUUUAAAUAUCUUUUUCAGAAAUUCUGAAAAAUUUUGAAGAAAAUUUUCACCAAGGUGUUUUCUAUUCUGUUCAUUGUGUCUGAAGUAACAAAAGUAUAAAAAAUAACGUAAGUGAUUAGCCAAUGUUCAUAGCACGGUUAAAAAAACCAGUUCUCGUCCAAUCACGUUGGCGUCAAUUUUUUUUUGCAGAUACAUAGUGUAAAAAUGCAUUAUGGAUACACAUUUAUAAAUUCAAGAAAAUAAUAGUGUAAAUUUUUUAUAUUUAUAUUUUAUAUUUAAAUAAUUUUAUUCUUGAAAUCUAAUUUUUACAUCUUACACGACUAAUGUAUUAAAAACUCUUCUAAUUAAGUACUGAUUAAAAUGACGAAAUAUAGUAUUCUCUUGCUA
rnacentral:lncRNA from 13 species